AUGCAGACUGAUUGGGGAGGUGAAUAUCAAAAACUAAAUACCUUCUUUCAAAAGAUAGGUAUUUCACACCAUGUUUCAUGCCCUCAUGCACACCAACAGAACGGGUCUGCUGAGCGAAAACACAGGCACAUAGUUGAAGUUGGGUUGUCUCUUCUAGCUCAAGCAUCUAUGCCACUAAAAUUUUGGGACGAAGCGUUUCUCACUGCCACAUAUCUCAUUAAUAUUGUGCCUAGUAAAGUGAUCAAUUAUCAAACGCCUGUUGAGCGUCUCUUUUCUACCAAGCCAGACUACUCAUUUCUCAGAAUAUUUGGAUGUGCAUGUUGGCCACACCUACGUCCAUACAGUUCUCGCAAACUUGAAUUUCGCUCUAAACAAUGCACUUUUCUUGGUUACAGUCCUCAACACAAAGGCAACAAAUGUCUUGAAAUCUCCACUGGUCGUGUAUAUAUUUCACGAGAUGUAGUCUUUGAUGAGUCAGUUUUUCCUUUCAAAAAUCUACACCCCAAUGCCGGUGCCCGCCUAUGCCAAGAAAUCCUCUUACCUCCUACCCUUACCAAUCUCAAAAUUCCAGGGGAUGAAAUAGUAGGUGCUGACCAAUUGACUAAUGACCAUACUAAUCAUGCCUCUGGAAGCUUUGAAUCU
rnacentral:rRNA from 1 species